GGUUAAGCGACUAAGCGUACACGGUGGAUGCCCUGGCAGUCAGAGGCGAUGAAGGACGUGCUAAUCUGCGAAAAGCGUCGGUAAGGUGAUAUGAACCGUUACAGCCGGCGAUGUCCGAAUGGGGAAACCCAGUGCAAUUCGUUGCACUAUCGUUAACUGAAUACAUAGGUUAACGAGGCGAACCGGGGGAACUGAAACAUCUAAGUACCCCGAGGAAAAGAAAUCAACCGAGAUUCCCCCAGUAGCGGCGAGCGAACGGGGAGCAGCCCAGAGUCUGAAUCAGCUUGUGUGUUAGUGGAACGGUCUGGAAAGUCCGACGGUACAGGGUGAUAGUCCCGUACACCAAAAUGCACAGGCUGUGAACUCGAAGAGUAGGGCGGGACACGUGGUAUCCUGUCUGAAUAUGGGGGGACCAUCCUCCAAGGCUAAAUACUCCUGACUGACCGAUAGUGAACCAGUACCGUGAGGGAAAGGCGAAAAGAACCCCGGCGAGGGGAGUGAAAAAGAACCUGAAACCGUGUACGUACAAGCAGUGGGAGCACCUU
rnacentral:rRNA from 2 species